rnacentral:lncRNA from 1 species
GUGCCUGUGACCCUAGCUUUCUGGGAGGCUGAAGCAGGAGGAUCUCAAGUUAGUACUGGCCCAGCCUAGGCAAUUUAGUGACCUGGUGAAGCUCUAUAUCAAGAUAACAUGUAAAUAAACAGCAGUGAUGCUGCACAGUGCAAAGGCCCUGCGUUCAAGCGCGAGUGAGAGAAGAUGAAUAAUAUGAAUGUCUCUGGCCUCCAAGGGCACUCUAACGAGACACAGAGGUGGUAGAGAAGGCGCAGGGCACAGAAGCCCGGUGAGUAGAGAAGGGAGGUCAGAAAUUUAAACUACAGCCAACCAGCCUUACCCAGCCAGCAGCACUUAACCGUCCGCCGACCACAGAGCUCUAGAAAAGGCCGGGGAGAGGACCGCGUGCAGAGGGGCGGGGCAUUGGGCGGGGCGAAGGGGGCGCGUGCGCAGAGAAGCCGAAGUCCCGUGCUUUUUCUGACGAGGGUGGAGGAGCACAGAUUUUCUUUUUUCUUUUCUUAGGAUACAGUACAGUUACAUUCAAUGACAGGUCUUGGUUCUCAUUUUUUCUCCUUACCCCUGCCCUCCCUUCACCCUUAGGUGCUCGAGUAAGGAAGCCGAGGUUCUGCAGCUUCGUUGGUGACACUGAGUCCCUGGUGACCAUGACAGGCAGGUUUUGAGAAGUAGCGGCCUGGAUCUGACGGCGCCACCCUCGCCCUGAACCGCAUUCUGCUCUCUCCUCGGUCCGCAAACACUCAAGGACAUAAGGGCCGCCUCGAUUCCACUGUGGAUUGAACAGCAUAAAAACGAUUCGUUCUCGGCGUUAAACAGGAGGAAAAUACCCGUGAACCUCACACACCUCCCAGCAACAUUUAAACACCUGUAACACAUUCCUCGGGGGGGAAAAAGAUACCUUAAGAAUUUCAUACAAAUCCAGAUUUUCAUUUAAGUAGGAUGAUAACAGAAGCCUUCAACACACAAGUUUUGGGAAAGCUGUCACCCUUGAACCCGUCUUGUAAAGCAUGCAUAGUGAGACAUCCACGCAUAUGGAGCUGGAGCAGCAGCUCAGAAGGAGAGGUGAGAAGAGGCGCGUCCUGCUCCUGCACAGGACCUUGAGGCGGGGGACAAGCACCACCUUGCUUCCGGUCUUCUUUAGAUGGUGGGAGACCUCGAGCACGCCCGGAAAUGCCCAGUUCCAUGACCACGGUGCAGCUGGAAGUAACAACGGUGACGAGGACAUGGGGCACGGCAUGUGGUCCUCCUGCAGGGCCACCAAGCCUCACACCUACACCCCAGACCUUAACUUCUCUCUGGGUGCUCUCAUGCCUGACGUGGUGUAAACACUGUGGCCAAGACGCUGUGCCGUGUUGUGGACAAGAAAAGUUCAACUCAUUCAUUCCCUGUAGGCAUAAGCCACUUUCUAAUGUUUCUGCUGUGCCAUUGGUCAGAUAAGUAGAUGCAAAGCUGCAGGUCUGGAGGCAAGCUCUGCACGAAGGGCCUGCAUGUGUGUGUAUGUGUUUUCCCCAGUGGAGUUUAUCCCAUGGUGUGAGUGUGGCAGUUUCUAUUAAAAGCAUCAAUGCAGUUCAGUAGGUGAGCUUCUUAGAGAAGUUGUGCCUGGCUGUGAAACCACGUGUCCUCCCUAACAUAGCUGGCUCUCCCCGCCUGCAGAUGUGGGGCCUGAGGGUUCAGCCAACUUUGACCUGAAAUGCUUCACACAAAACCCAGGAUGCUCCCAAGCGCAAAUCUUGUAUUCCCCUGUGCUGGCUCCUCCACCGGGUUCCCUGCAGGCCUGCUCCCUAGACAGGCACUGAAUGGACAGGGCUGUCUUCUGUGGUCCUCGUCACCCAACAACACAGCACAGCUAUGGUUUACACGAC